UGGUUUCUUUGAAGAGCUUCUCUUUGCUUUUGAUGUUCCACAGUUUUAUCAUCGUAAGUCCAGAUGAGGAAAUCCAAGCUCAGAAUGGAUAAUUCACCUAAGGAAAUACAGAUGGAAAAUGGCAGAGCUGCAAUCUAAACCCAGGUCCAUCUGAUAAUAAAGCCCAGGCUCUCCUCAACCAACUUCAGAUCUGGGAUGCUUCCAGUGAGACUCCGUGCUCCCUCCCUGUGUGGUUCCCAUGGCCUUUCUUUACCUCAAGAAAAUGCAGAGUGAAAAGCAAUGGUAGCAGAAGUUUCUAGAAGUUACUUAUAUGGCAAGUGCAAGUAUUUCAGAACACAUUUGAGAUUCAGGAAGGAGGCAAAAAGGCUUCUGCUGAGCAGUCAAAAUGACGAAGUUUGUAAACUUCACUUUAUUUGGGUCCCUGCUGAAAGUCUACCUACUCUUUAAAAACAAUAACAACAACAAAAAAUGGGAACACACUAUUAACGCUGUUCUGCACAUGUAUUUUUCAAUUAACAAUUGGUGAGUAUUCCCUUUUAGCGCACAUAGAUCUACCUCAUUCAUUUAAGGGCUCUGUAGUGCUGCAUUGUGUGAAUGCACCAAAUGUGUAUUUAUCCUGCAUUCUCUAGGUGGACAUUUUAGACACUUACAAGGGUUGGGGCUCAGAAAGUGAUAUCCCAAAGGCUGAUGUUUUGACAUGCUGAGGGCCCUCAGAAGCCGCCCCCGAACCAAGGUCCCUCUAACUUCUUGUUCCCCAUACCUGCCCCACCACCAAACACAGGGAGGGACUGUCUGUCUUUGGAAAUUUCCUCAUCUGACCAAGAAAGCAUCUUUCCAAAAGAAAUGCAAUUGUCUUAAACACCCUCCCUAGAGGUCUCAUCAAAUAACCAAGAAAGAUAAACCACCAGAAGAGAUGAGACUGGGAAUCAUCACCACACCCAGACAGACUUCAUCUAUUCUUCUGAGAGCAGCUCCAAGAGAUUGCCUGGAGGACUUUAUCUGCUUAAUAAGACAAGCUUUGUUCCUGUACAGCUCCGCCCCUCACCUUCCUGUAAUAUCUGCCUCCCACCUCCCCAGUCCAUACAUCUCCUCCCUCCUGUAUGAAAAAGGGUAUACAAGCUUCUGUGCCCCAUUGGGUUAUUGGGAAAUCAUUCUCCUGUGAUUCCCCUGUGCCAUGCACACUAAAAUAAAAUUUUGUAUG
rnacentral:lncRNA from 10 species